rnacentral:rRNA from 1 species
CCUGAUGCAGCGACGCCGCGUGAGGGAUGACGGCCUUCGGGUUGUAAACCUCUUUCGACAGGGACGAAGCGCAAGUGACGGUACCUGUAGAAGAAGCACCGGCCAACUACGUGCCAGCAGCCGCGGUAAUACGUAGGGUGCGAGCGUUGUCCGGAAUUACUGGGCGUAAAGAGCUUGUAGGCGGUUUGUCGCGUCUUCUGUGAAAACUCACAGCUCAACUGUGAGCUUGCAGGGGAUACGGGCAGACUAGAGUACUUCAGGGGAGACUGGAAUUCCUGGUGUAGCGGUGAAAUGCGCAGAUAUCAGGAGGAACACCGGUGGCGAAGGCGGGUCUCUGGGAAGUAACUGACGCUGAGAAGCGAAAGCGUGGGUAGCGAACAGGAUUAGAUACCCUGGUAGUCCACGCCGUAAACGGUGGGUACUAGGUGUGGGUUUCCUUCCACGGGAUCCGUGCCGUAGCUAACGCAUUAAGUACCCCGCCUGGGGAGUACGGCCGCAAGGCUAAAACUCAAAGGAAUUGACGGGGGCCCGCACAAGCGGCGGAGCAUGUGGAUUAAUUCGAUGCAACGCGAAGAACCUUACCUGGGUUUGACAUACACCGGAAACCUGCAGAGAUGUAGGCCCCCUUGUGGUC